GGAUUGCAGCUCAGUGGUAGAGCUCUCACCUUGCACUCGUGAGGCCCUGAGUUCGAUCCUUAGCACCA
rnacentral:tRNA from 1 species